UACCAGCACCCCGAGUGGUCGGGACGAUUAUUGGGCCUAAAGCAUCCGUAGCCGGUUCUACAAGUCUUCCGUUAAAUCCACCUGCUUAACAGAUGGGCUGCGGAGGAUACUAUGGAGCUAGGAGGCGGGAGAGGCAAGCGGUACUUAGUGGGUAGGGGUAAAAUCCGUUGAUCCAUUGAAGACCACCAGUGGCGAAGGCGGCUUGCCAGAACGCACUCGACGGUGAGGGGAUGGAAAGCUGGGGGAGCAAACCG
rnacentral:rRNA from 1 species